rnacentral:rRNA from 1 species
UACGAAGGGGGCUAGCGUUGCUCGGAAUCACUGGGCGUAAAGCGCACGUAGGCGGAUCUUUAAGUCAGGGGUGAAAUCCCAAGGCUCAACCUUGGAACUGCCUUUGAUACUGGGGAUCUCGAGUCCGGAAGAGGUGAGUGGAACUGCGAGUGUAGAGGUGGAAUUCGUAGAUAUUAGGAAGAACACCAGUGGCGAAGGCGGCUCACUGGUCCGGUACUGACGCUGAGGUGCGAAAGCGUGGGGAGCAAACAGGG